rnacentral:rRNA from 1 species
CUCAACGGGGGAGGGUCAUUCGAAACGGGCACACUGGAGGCAGGGAGAGGUCGGUGGAAUUCCCGGUGUAGUGGUGAAAUGCGUAAAUAUCGGGAGGAACACCAGUGGCGAAGGCGGCCGACUGGACCUGACCUGACGCUGAGGCGCGAAGGCGUGGGGAGCGAACGGGAUUAGAUACCCCGGUAGUCCACGCAGUAAACGAUGGACACUAGGUGUGGCGCGAGUUGACCCGUGCCGUGCCGGAGCUAACGCAGUAAGUGUCCCGCCUGGGGAGUACGGCCGCAAGGCUAAAACUCAAAGGAAUUGACGGGGCCCCGCACAAGCAGCGGAGCGUGUGGUUUAAUUCGACGCAACGCGCAGAACCUUACCAGGACUUGACAUCCCGGGAAUCCCGCUGAAAGGUGGGAGUGCUCUUCGGAGAGCCC